GGGAGGAGUUAAAGCAAAAAUCAGCAGCUAAUGAGGGGCAAUCUGUAAACCACCAACCACCCCUUCCCCCAACCUUUACUCCUGUUCCAAGUGAAUUUCUGCUGCUAAGUUAUGGGUAGAAGCAAAAAACCACUUUGUGGAGGGAGAGGAAGGAAACCACGUCGCUCUAUGAUAAAAGCCUUGCACCUGGUAAAAAGCAACAGCCUGCUACCACUGCAGGUGGGGCAGGAAGCUUCCAGUUCCCAUUCCCAAGCAAAGAUAAUUUGCAGCUGAGAUUUGCAACAAGGACCCAGCACGGAUACAAAGCAGAGACAGGCUCUCACCACGGCGGGGGAGAGGACGCUCUCACAGGUCCAGAACCUCUCAACAGAUACAAGUCACCAAUGCUGCUCAUUGCAAUGUAUGGAGUGAAAGAGGCUGCCAUCGGUAUCCAGAAGAAGGUGUUACUUCGGUACCCAUACUCAUAAUCCAUAUGCUCCUGAAAUCAUGUGGAACAUGCAACUAGGACCUUCUGAACACGUAGCCUGAUUUACUUAUGAAGAAGCAAAUUCAACCAAGUGAUACGAAUUGUCUAAGGUCAUACAGUUAAUAACUUGUAAGAGCCCAGCACAGCACAGAUUUACAAAAUGAUACACAAAGACCUCAGAGUUUCCAGCCUGGUGUUCUGCCUUGUGGAUUUCAGAUUUGCCAAGCCCCACAAUUACAUAAUGAAAUUCCUUAAAGAAGCGAACUUUUGCUAUUGCACAGACCUGCUGCCUCCAGAGCGCCACGCCACUGAUUGUUUUCCUUGUUUCGUGGAAGGAAGACAAAACUUGUUCCAGCUCAACAAGGCUUCCUAUAUCUUUUGCCCCAUCAGUUUGUAAUUGUCCCCAAAUUCCAAUAUCUAAAACAUAAGAUCAAUAUUUUAUAAAGUGCCAUUUUAGUUAUGCAUUAUUUAGCUUUUCCUAUGAUAAAUUUUCCUACAAAGGUGUCAAAGUUACCCUCUUGGGCCAAGAUACAAGUAAUCUAAUGUAUGACAUUAUUAGAGCAACUAUUGAAGAAAUGGGAAAGAAGCAGAAAGUAUUGAUAUAAUAAAAGAAAAUCUUGUGUUUUCUGAUUUUAAA
rnacentral:lncRNA from 1 species